UUCAUCAUGUACAUUGUGCACCAUUUCAUAUGUCAUCAACGAACCAAUUAGUUCUUCAAGUGGUAAGUUAUUUAGGUUUUUAGCUUCUUGUAUUGCAGUUACUUUUGAAUCCCACUUCUUAGAAAGAGAACGCAAAAUCUUAUUUACGAGUUCAAAAUCCGAAAAAUAUUUUCCAAGAGCUCUUAAACUAUUGACGACAUCCGUGAAAUGGGUGUACAUGUCGCCUAUAGUCUCGCUUGGUUGCAUUCGAAAAAGCUCAAAAUCAUGCAAUAAAAUGUUAACUUUCGAGUCAUUGACUCUACUGGUUCCCUCGUGCGUGAUUUCAAGUGUUCGCCAAAUGUCAAAAGCCGUU
rnacentral:lncRNA from 1 species